rnacentral:lncRNA from 1 species
CAUCUGACAUCCACUGUCGGUUGACCUUCUAUCAAAUUCUGCAUGAAACCGAACUUCAUCUAUGGAAAGCCUCUGACCGAGCUCCUACAGCAAAUGACCCUCGCCUGCAGUACUGGUGCCCAAGGCACCCAAUGGUGGAGGGCUCGCCAGCAACAUCCGAGCUCCUCUCAGAUGGGGAGCUACCUCUCUCUACCGGACACCUC